rnacentral:tRNA from 1 species
GAGGGUACAGCUCAAGUGGUAGAGCGCAUGCUUAGCAUGCACAAGGUCCUGGGUUCAAUCCCCAGUAACCUCC